rnacentral:lncRNA from 10 species
ACCAGAGAAGCCGCGGACCCGGCCCGCAGAUAACACCCGGGCUUGCAGAGCGCUUUCAUCUGCCCGACGCGGAAAUCUCCUGCAGCGAUCUUCUACCUUCAGCGUGCAUCCGCAGCACCCAGAGGGCACGUUAAAGAGAGAUUGAGAACCACCAGCAAAACUGCUGAUUCAGUAGGUUUGGGGUGGGGCUGAAAAAUGUGCAUUUCUAACAAGUUCCUGAGACCGACUGUUGCUGCUGGCCUCAGGACCAAUUUUUUCUAUAAAGCGCAUGGAAGUCAGAGUGCACCCAAGAGAUUGUUAACCCUUAAAAAACAGAAAAAAAAAAAAGAAAUCAACAAGUUAGAGGCAAAUAAGUGUGAAAGAAAGUGGAUAGUCUAUUUGGGGAUUCUGAAAGUCCCUGAGGAAAGUUGACUUUGGAGACCAGAUCACGAAGCACGACCUCUUAAUUGCCGACCUUUUGUUAUAGAUUAACUCCCUUAUUUUCUUGUUCCCAGCUCAGACCAGAUGGCAUCUGAGAUAAAAUACGCAUUGAAUAAGAUAAAUGACCGCUUGACUAUUACAUCCUUAAUGUGGAAUGUUAAAUAGACCCUUCCCAAAAAGAAACACUGCCUUGAACCAAUCAAAUUGCUAUGCGUUAACCUUCUAUGGAAAAUGUUGACAUCCUGUUAAGCUUCCCAGACCCUGCCUGUGUAAACGACCCUCAAACUUCUCCCUUUCGAAGCACUGACCCCCAUCUUUUGGAGUCUGUGUCCUACCGGGUCGCCAUCCUCAAACUUUGCACUCAAAUAAACCAAUAUUUAAUCAUA